AUGGCGUCCCGGAGCUGCACCUUCCUCGAGAUCCUGCUCGCCAUCNUCCUGAUAGCAACUAACAGUAUUGGUCUUCCUUUCUGUCUUGAACAGAUGGAGUUCUGCAUCUGCCUGUUGCUCACCAUCCUGGGCUACAUCCCCGGCAUCAUCUACGCGGUCUACGUGCUCGUUGCGCUCGGCUCAGAGGAGCGUGAUCGGGACUACGACACCCUUGCUUAA
rnacentral:rRNA from 1 species